rnacentral:lncRNA from 1 species
AUCUGUCUGGGAGCAGAGGUGUAAAAGCUGGGGAAGUCCGACUGCUUGCUAGCUGCCUGUUGGGUUCCUCCAGUUUGUUUUUAAAGGGGCAUGCACAGUGCAAUCACACACAUAUAUUUUAAAGUUCCAGAAAGCUACACGGCUGCAUGCUUGUGCUUAACUGAGUCAGGGCUUUGGAGGGGAGUUUAUCCAGUAUUAUUAGCAAACCCUUAGGGAGCUAAGAAAGUAUUAUGAUUUCUAAUCAGACCCAGAGCUGGCCAAGGGUAGGCUUUCUAAAUGGGAUAAAAAAAAUGGAAGAAGAAGAAGAAAGAAAGACCAUGAAACACCCUGGUUAGUCAGAACAGUGGCUUUUUGUGUGAGGAUUUGAGGCAGAGUGCUCUAAUUUUCAAAUCUACACAGGGAAGUUGGUUGCAGUUACUCAGAGCUGAGUCUGAAGGGCCACUCCUUUAUAAACUUUUAGAGUCACGGAGGAGGGGGAAAGGGCCCCAACAACUUUAGAACUUUUACUUUUCUGAGAUCUUGUAGCAAACAGAAUGGAAUUUGGGCCCCCAAAGGCAUUUGUACUUUUCAGCUAAGCAACCAGGGAUUCUUAAGGACAAUCAGGUAUUAAAAUGUUUCUUGUCGCCUGUUAGGCUGGGUGCAUGCCUGUGAUUCCAGAACUCCAGAGGCUGAGGCAGGAAGAUUGCUAUGAGUUUGAGACCAGCUUGGGUUAUGUUGCCUACACAUUAUGUCUCAGAAUAAAAUAAAC